rnacentral:rRNA from 1 species
CCUACGGGAGGCAGCAGUGGGGAAUUUUGGACAAUGGGCGCAAGCCUGAUCCAGCUAUUCCGCGUGUGGGAAGACGGCCUUCGGGUUGUAAACCACUUUUGUAGAGAACGAAAAGUCUGUUGAUAAUACCGAUAGAUGAUGACGGUACUCUAAGAAUAAGCACCGGCUAACUACGGGCCAGCAGCCGCGGUAAUAAGUAGGGUGCGAGCGUGAAUAUGAAUUACUGGGCGUAAAGGGUGUGCAGGCGGUUUUGCAAGAUGGAGGUGAAAGCCGCGGGCUUAACCUGGGAAAGACAUACAUGACUGCAAGACUAGAGUGCGUCAGAGGGGGGUGGAAUUCCAAGUGUAGCAGUGAAAUGCGUAGAUAUUUGGAAGAACACCGAUGGCGAAGGCAGCCCCCUGGGACGCAACUGACGCUCAUACACGAAAGCGUGGGGAGCAAACAGGAUUAGAUACCCCAGUAGUC